AUGUCCCACAAUCAGUGUUUACAGGUAGGCCUAACUGGAAUCUGAGCCUGUGCAUUGAAUAACCCGAAAAGCAAACACAUGCAUUACUGUCAACAUGCAGUAGCACUGAGCACUACAAAGAAGUUGCUUAUUUGGAUACAAAGACCAAUCCUAAGCCAGCUUUUGUUUCAGUUGGAAAUUGCCCGCUCAAAUUAACGCUUUCACAAACAAUGCAUCAUUUGGGUCAUCAUUUCGCUGUGUGAUACGAUCAGGGAAGCAAGUCUGAAGUUCUUCUACUGAAAGCCUGUAUCUUUUGCCUGUUUUCUAGAAUCAGUCGAACCAUAUCGAAAAAUUCAAAUUAUCUACAGAGAUGGGUCGUCUACAGAAUAAAGAAAUAUCGCAUAUGCCGAUCAUUGAAAAUGGGUUCGCAAAAACGUCUAACUCAUCGAUUAAAUUUGGGAAUGGCAAGAAGAAGCAUACCAAUCAUCUAUAGACGAUAGAGGUCUGGGAGGAAGAGAAGUUAAGCAUUCUAGAAGCAAUGACAUAAGCAGUGGACCCAUCCUUGGCAACAACAUGACUUCUUCAGCAUGUUCAUGGAAAUUUAAUGAUCUCUUUGUGUCACCAGAACUGAGGUUAGUUAAAUUUCUAUGUG
rnacentral:lncRNA from 1 species